UUCACGAAACCCUAAGGCGCAAUGAAAGUGAAGGUCAGGCAUCGCACUGACUGAGGCAGGAUCCGUCCGGGUGAGCGAAGCUCUUCUUCCCUUCGCGGGUUCGUCCCGCGGGGGAGCUCGGCGGCGCACGCCAGCCCAUCUCGGCCGCUUCCCGUCGGCGAGGUGGAGCCAGAGCGCACACGUUGGGACCCGAAAGAUGGUGAACUAUGCUCGGGCAGGACGAAGCCAGAGGAAACUCUGGUGGAGGUCCGUAGCGAUUCUGACGUGCAAAUCGAUCGUCGGACCCGAGUAUAGGGGCGAAAGACUAAUCGAACCGUCUAGUAGC
rnacentral:rRNA from 1 species